CGGGUUGUGGAGUAAUGGUAAGUCACUGACUUUUGAUGUCGGCUUAUGAGAGUUCGAACCCUCCCAACCCAC
rnacentral:tRNA from 1 species